rnacentral:rRNA from 1 species
UACGGAGGGUGCGAGCGUUGUCCGGAAUCACUGGGCGUAAAGGGCGCGUAGGCGGCCUGAUAAGUAGGGGGGUGAAAUCCUGAAGGCUUAACCUCAGGGCUGCCUUCUAAACUGUCAGGCUCGAGCACAGUAGAGGCAGGUGGAAUUCCCGGUGUAGCGGUGGAAUGCGUAGAGAUCGGGAAGAACAUCAGUGGCGAAGGCGGCCUGCUGGGCUGUUGCUGGACGCUGAGGCGCGACAGCGUGGGGAGCAAACGAG